GUUUUAAUCAUCUUUUAAUUAUAUAUCUACUCUUUGUAAUGGUAUCAAUCAUCUCUUGAUUAUAUAUCUUCUCUUUGUUGCUAAUUCAUAUCUAUGGUACUCAUGGCAUAUUUUAUUUUAUGAUUACUGUAUUCAGAGGGAGCAAACAUUAAUGAUAAGCACAAGAAGUUUGAAGAAACACUAAAGAGAAAAUGUAUUCAAAAAAGAGGGGGAGUUAACAAUGUUUGAUGAUGUCAAAAAGGGGGAGAAAUUAAAGAAAAGUAUCAAAAGCAAGAUUAU
rnacentral:lncRNA from 1 species